rnacentral:lncRNA from 1 species
UAAACUGAACCAACACCACAAGUCUGCAUAUAAUGAAGUUACUAAGUAGGGAUCAUAUAACAUGAGGUAGAUGGAUGAUUAGCCAACUUAUAAAAUACCACUGUAGUAGUUAAGAUGAUGACUUGAUGAGACAAAGAACAGCAGCAUGCAGAGUUCCUGAUGCACUCUCACAUAUAGGAGUAUUAACCAACCAGCAUGUCCAUCAUGCAUUCUCCCAUAGCCAUAAUUAAAACCAGCAGCAUGUUUUCACAGAGAUAAGAUAAAUACCCCUGAUUGAUGAAGCUACAGUACUAGUACUCAAGAUAACAUCAGUAUUUUAAUCUGACCAGUCCAAACUUGACCAAAAUCAGUGCAUAAUUAAGGAAGUAGUAGCAUACUGCAGUACUCUUUGAUGAACUGCAAACUGAACCAAACAUCCUCUUUGAUGAACUUGGAAGAUCCCUUCCCACCACUGGACUGCUUGUCACGGAUCCAUCACCCUGCAGUGAAAUGAAAUCAGAUGUGAGUCUUGCAUGAUGAGACACAUAAAUGCAAGAACCAAUGCAACAUACUCCAGGCUGCUAGUACUAUAUGGAAUGGAUGUAUGUGCAGAACAGAACCCACGAAUAUAUGGAUGGAUCGAUGGAAAAAGAGGGGCAGUUGGUCGACCUAGCGAGCUAGGUCAUGUCGGCAUACACGGCGUCGAAUGUGUGGCCCCAGGCGGCGGUCACGAGCGCGUAAGCCCAGGCCAGGUAGGCGCGCGCUUGGUGGAUGUGCGGCUGCAGUGGAUGGGGUUCCAUGCCGCAGCGGCGGAGGAAGGAGGCGCAGACGUGGAUGUGGUGGUCGAUGGCGAGCCGGGCGCAGGAGUAUGCGAUGUGGACCGAGACCGGCACGAGGUGGAGGUCGGAGGCGUGGGGGAGGGCGAGCAGCGCGCCGGCGAUCUGACCCGGCGACUGGCCAUGGGGGAGGACCGGGAGGGCGUCCCGGGCGGCGCCGCUGUCGAGCGCGUGCUUGAGCGCCGACGCGAGGAGCUCCGCCGUGAACUCCAGCUGCGCGGCCGAGUUGUCGAGAUGCGCGAGGACGAGGCGCACGAGGCGGGCGUCGCCCUGCUCGUGCGCCCGGUGGCUCGCCAUCUGGUCCCCGGACGUCUCCUCGCAGUCGGCGAGAAGGACCCGGGCCUGCUUGAGGGCCUCGACUGGCUGCGAGAGGUGCACCAUCGCCUCGUUCAGCCGGCCGAAGAGGCGGUGGUGGAGUUGCGCCGCCGCCGCCGCCGCGUCCGCCAUCGCUCUCCCCCUCUGCCCCCCUGGCUGGAUCUCUCCCCUCCCCGACCCGAUGGAUCCAACUCAACUCAACUCUCGGCCGCAACUAGGAAAUUGAAUUUUGAAUGGAAGAAAGAGAACUGAAGGAGGAGAGGACGGCCCUACCUAAAAAGGAAACGGAGCGAGGCCCUGCAGCGCGUACUCGAGAGACAUGAGCAUCUGGUCCCACGCCUGGACGGCGCCGACGAGGUGCUCGCGCGCGACGGCGAUGUCGCCGGCGAGGAGGGCGGGCCGCGUGGCGUCGCCGGCGAACAGGAAGGCCAUGGCGCGCAGCCGGGCGUCAGCCCUCUUGAGCCGGCCCUGGACCGCCCGCCCGCGGUCGAUGGCGUCCACCAGGUGGUCCCGCGCCUCGUCGCCGACGACCCAGAUGACGAGCCGGCGGUCGGGAGAGCCGGCCAGCGCGAGGGCCGCCCGCAGGCUCCCCAUGGAGUCCCUGACGGCGACCCACGCCUCGUCGACGGUGACCCGCGCCCCCACCAGCACCCGCAGGUCCACCUGGCGCGGCGCCCACACCCCAAUCCCCAUCCCGACGGCCAGACGCAGCAUGUUGAGGCGGUCCCGGUGCUCCACCAUGGAG